rnacentral:ncRNA from 15 species
ACCAUCCUUUUCUUGGGGUUGCGUUACUGUCCAAUGAACGCCUAGUGAGAGCAGUACUGCUAACGCCUACACAACACACCCGCAUCGGUAGAGCACUGCUUUAUCUUGGUGCAAUUUUUGGAAAA